rnacentral:tRNA from 1 species
UGUCCCAUGGCUUAGUUGGUUACGGCGUCCGACUGUUAAUACUCCUCCAAUCGGAAGAUCGAGAGUUCAAGUCUCUCUGGGACAG